CACAUCUAUUUAUUUUUCUCCUGUUAGGUUUAAUUUGUCUUUUCAUGAGUACACUGUGGAUGCUGAUGGCAAAGAUGUUGGGACAUAUGAAAGCAACAGACUUUGCUUUUCUUCAAUAUCGAAAGAUGCUGUUUUUCUAGACAAGGAACUUGCUGCUAGUGGUUUUAGUAGAAAGGAUCAGGAAGACAUUGAAAAGUUCAUCGAAGAAGGUGUAAAGGAGAACAGUGACACUGAUGAAGGAACUGGGGAUGAGGAAUGUGUCUCUGUUAUGAAUAAACAAAACAUCGAAUUAUAUUAUACUGGGGAUAAUGGGAUGAUAUUUGUUGCUUGUCAAAACUCAUGUCAAAGUUAGACAUUUGUUUGAAUUAUAAUGAAGAAAUUUGGAACUCUUUUUCCAAAAUUUUGAUUGAAAUAUUAAACAAAAAGUUAGGAAAUUUCCAUGUUUGUAUUUUCUUGAUAAGAACUAGAAUUUCAUUAAUGAAAACGAGAUAGCAUGUUCAUCUUUAUUUAAACUUUUUUUAAUGGCGUUAAUUUCAGUUCAAUAAAUUUGCCUUGAGAUAUUAGUCUUAUUUUAUACAUCUUUUUUAAUUCAGGACGACCAAACAGUAGAUUGUGCGGAGGCAGGGGAGCUCAAGGACAAAGAACAUGAUCACCAAGCAGGUGAAAACAUCGUACCUGAAACUGAAGAUACAAAUGACGAUGAGGGGGACGAGUCCGCAGAUGAAGAUGAGGCAAAACUGGCAAGGAGCUUAAACAGGCAGAGGAAACACGCUAUAUCAGCAGUGCAUAGGGGACGGCGAAAAACUGUCUCCAGAAAUUCCUACAAAGACAAGGGUGGUAAGACCACUUACAACUCCAAAAUCCAUAAACAAAUGUGUGUCUGGUAAGAAGAGUGACAUUAAGGAUGAGAUGGCU